GCUGCCAUUGAGGAGCAUUUACUCAGUGAGUGCAAGAGGUUUGUUUGAAACAGACCGCAAUGGAGAGAUCAGCGCCCAGGGAAGCGAGGGAACAGCAGGCUCCUUCCAGCAGCACAUCGGGAUGGGAGCCUGGGACACAGAGGGGGCUCCGAGACCGGGAUUGAUUCGGGGUGAAAAACCUUCUGUGUUCCUCCAAGCAAAUAUUUAAAUGACGAAGGCAAUGUCAUAUAUCCUUGGUACAAAGCCAAGUGUGACCAGCAGCUUCUAACAACCAGAAGGAGCACAAGGUGGCGCCGAUGCAGUCAUCAAUGUAGCGGAGAAAGAGUGGGGGAGUGGUGCCAGUGUAACUACGGAAGAUGGACUGUUCUACAUAGCUGACAAAGAGACAGACAGAGCUGGGACCUAUACGGAUGCCCAUGGUUACCCCUUUGGUCUGGAGGAAGUAGGAGGAUUCAAAGGAGAAAUUGUUGAAGGGUUGUGAUUCAAAUUCAAAGAAGCAGAAGAUCUGAUGAGUUAGAAUUGACAGUGGGGCAGUUACGGUCUGUAAGAACACUAAGGUGACAUAUCAACUGAAGAAGGGCUUACGCCCGAAACGUCGAAUCUCCUGUUCCUUGGAUGCUGCCUGACCUGCUGCGCUUUUCCAGCAAUACAUUUUCAGCUCUGAUCUCCAGCAUCUGCAGACCUCACUUUCUCCUCUGACAUAUCAACUCAAACAACGUAUUAAAGAUCCUUUGUCAGAGAGGCCUAUCGCACAGAAUCAGGCCCAUUGAAACUUUUGAGUCUGCACUGAUCAAAACAACCAGCUAACAAUUUUCAUCCUGAUCAGCCAGCAUCCAUUUGUAUAAAUGGAUCAUGGGAGCAGAGGAGCUUAUCGUCCUCAUCUUUAUCACAACAUCAUUCUGCAUUUCUUCAUAUUGCAGCAGAAGACUUUGUUUCGUCUGUUUUAGUUCAUCCAGAAACUCUUUUUUGGAUAACUAUGUACAACUUUCAAAAUUGUUGCAAUUUUCUACAGAGCUCUGCAUUCCUCCUCCCCCUCCCUUGGGAUGUCUCACCAAAAAAGCAUGAAAUUUGGCUGCAAUUUUCACAAUGCAUCAGUGGAAUUUAAUAACCACCCUUCAAAGCAGUGGAGAAAGGGGGAGAAAGAAAAAGCCAAAAUUGGUAGGCUUGUAGAAUUGCACAUUUUAUUUUCAAGCAGAGUUGAACAGUGUUGAUUAUUCCAUAAAUUGAAUUUGACAGUUUACAUAUUCUGCACAGCAUGAUAAAAAAAAAUACAAGUCCUUUUCUAUUCCUCGUCCCUACUAUAGAGCAACAUAAGA